AAAGCAAGAAAACAGGUUUGAAAGACUGCAGCUUGAGUCCAGAUACCACAUGCCGAGAAGAAAGGAACCCAAACAGCUGAUGCAGAGUUCAGACUAAACUAACUGCAAGCUCCCCAGGGACAUCACAAGACAGGAAAGUGGAGAAAAUAAGCCUUUGUUGCAAGAAAAAUACUCCAAAAGUUUUCUCACCCAUGGGAAUGGUUGGGUCUGGAUUUGGGCUUUUCCUCUUGAGGAAUAGAAUAAAGCUCUGCAGUUAAGUGUCAAACACGAAUCUGCAAAUGGGCUGUAUGACCCUGGAGCUCUUAUGAAGGAUGACUGUUGUGUUUCCAUCUGGA
rnacentral:lncRNA from 1 species